rnacentral:tRNA from 1 species
GCUACUAUGGCUCAGUAGGUAGAGCGUCGCCUUGGUAAGGCGGAGGUCACGGGUUCGAAUCCCGUUAGUAGCU